ensembl:lncRNA
GGUGUGGUGUGGUGGUGUCAUGGUGUAGUGAUGUCAUGGUGGUGUGGUGUCAUGGUGCAGUGGUGUCAUGGUGUAGUGGUGUCAUGGUGUAGUGGUGUCAUGGUGUGGUGGUGUGGUGGUGUCAUGGUGUGGUGGUGUGGUGGUGUCAUGGUGUGGUGGUGUCAUGGUGUGGUGGUGUCAUGGUGUAGUGGUGUCAUGAUGACAUGGUGUGGUGGUGUCAUGGUGUGGUGGUGUCAUGGUGUCAUGGUGUGGUGGUGUCAUGGUGUGGAGGUGUCAUGUGGUGGUGUAAUGGUGUGGUAGUGUCAUGAUGUAGUGGUGUCAUGGUGUAGUGGUGUCAUGGUGUAGUGGUGUUAUGGUGUAGUGGUGUCAUGGUGUGGUGGUGUCAUGGUGUAGUGGUGUCAUGGUGUGGUGGUGUCAUGGUGUGGUGGUGUCAUGGUGUGGUGGUGUGGUGGUGUCAUGGUGUGAUGGUGUCAUGGUGUGGUGGUGGCAUGGUGUGGUGGUGUCAUGGUGUGGAGGUGUCAUGUGGUGUUGUAAUGGUGUGGUAGUGUCAUGAUGUCAUGGUGUGAUGGUGUCAUGGUGUGGUGGUGUCAUGGUGUGGUGGUGUCAUGGUGUGGUGGUGUCUGGUGUGGUGGUGGCAUGGUGUGGUGGUGUAGUGGUGUCAUGGUGUGGAGGUGUCAUGUGGUGGUGUAAUGGUGUCAUGAUGUCAUGGUGUGGUGGUGUCAUGGUGUGGUGGUGUCAUGGUGUAGUGGUGUCAUGGUGUCAUGGUGUGGUGGUGUCAUGGUGUAGUGGUGUCAUGGUGGUGUGGUGUCAUGGUGUGGUGGUGUCAUGGUGUAGUGGUGUCAUGGUGUGGUUGUGUUAUGGUGGUGUGGUGGUGUCAUGGUGUGGUGGUGUCAUGGUGGUGUGGUGGUGUCAUGGUGUGGUGAUGUCAUGGUGGUGUCAUGGUGUGGUGAUGUCAUGGUGGUGUGGUGGUGUCAUGGUGUAGUGGUGUCAUGGUGUGGUGGUGUCAUGGUGCAGUGGUGUCAUGGUGUAGUGGUGUCAUGGUGUAGUGGUGUCAUGGUGGUGUGGUGAUGUCAUGGUGUAGUGGUGUCAUGGUGUAGUGGUGUUAUGGUGUGGUGGUGUCAUGGUGUAGUGGCGUCAUGGUGGUGUGGUGUCAUGAUGUGGUGGUGUAGGGGUGUCAUCGUGUGGUUGGUGUCAUGGUGUGGUGGUGUCAUGGUUGUGUCGUGGUGUCAUGGUGUGCUGGUGUGGUGGUGUCAUGGUGCGAUGGUGUCAUGGUGUGGUGGUGUCAUGGUGUGGUGGUGUCAUGGUGUGGAGGUGUCAUGUGGUGGUGUAAUGGUGUGGUAGUGUCAUGAUGUCAUGGUGUAGUGGUGUCAUGAUAACAUUGUGUGGUGGUGUCAUGGUGUGGUGGUGUCAUGGUGUGGUGGUGUCUGGUGUGGUGGUGGCAUGGUGUGGUGGUGUAGUGGUGUCAUGGUGUGGAGGUGUCAUGUGGUGGUGUAAUGGUGUCAUGAUGUCAUGGUGUGGUGGUGUAGUGGUGUCAUGGUGUGGUGGUGUCAU